rnacentral:lncRNA from 1 species
CAAGAUGGCUGUGUAUUUUGACGACAAAACCGGUAAAGGUGUGCCUCUCACCCACGAUUUGGCUCUAAAGGUGUAAAAUGAUGGUAACUAGUCCGAAAUCGAAGAUUUAGAUGGCGAAAAUGGUGUUACUUUUGACGUUCAAAUGUUUAAAAAUAACACCGAUGACAAGGAUAUUGAAGAAACUGUAUUAGAUGAAGAACCUGUAUUGGAUGAAGAACCUGUUCCUUCAACGAGCUCUUCUUCAGCAAAGAGGCUAUGGAAAGACAUGGCAUUUCAGCAAAAAAUUUUUGUUCUAUUUUAGUUAAUAUGUAAUAGCAUAUUAAACAAUUAUAAAAAUAAUUUUUAUUUGGCCCUAAUGGUGUUUUAUGUUUAAUAAAAAUGAAUUUUUUCAUACACUUACGAGCCUGCAUUCAUAGAACAUACGCCCAGAGCGCACGGACGUGACAUGUCAUUUGUGACAGAUUCAAACAAUGAAUUUUUUUUCUGCAUUUUUUACACCUUUUUUAGAUACCGUAUAUCGUAUUUAUUCAAAGGGAAACUUCAUUUUCACU